rnacentral:rRNA from 1 species
UACGUAGGGUGCAAGCGUUAAUCGGAAUUACUGGGCGUAAAGGGCUCGUAGGCGGCCAACUAAGUCGGAUGUGAAAUCCCCAGGCUUAACCUGGGAACUGCAUCCGAUACUGGAUGGCUUGAAUCCGGGAGAGGGAUGCAGAAUUCCAGGUGUAGCGGUGAAAUGCGUAGAUAUCGGGAGGAACACCUGUGGCGAAAGCGGCUCACUGGACCACAACUGACGCUGAUGCGCGAAAGCUAGGGGAGCAAACAGG